UACGGAGGGUGCAAGCGUUAAUCGGAAUCACUGGGCGUAAAGGGUGCGUAGGCGGUACGUUAGGUCUGUCGUGAAAUCCCCGGGCUCAACCUGGGAAUGGCGGUAGAAACCGGUGCACUAGAGUAUGGGAGAGGGUGGUGGAGUUCCAGGUGUAGCGGUGAAAUGCGUAGAUAUCUGGAGGAACAUCAGUGGCGAAGGCGGCCACCUGGCCCAAUACUGACGCUGAGGCACGAAAGCGUGGGGGAGCAAACAGGAUUAGAUACCCUGGUAGUCCACGCCCUAAACGAUGAAUACUAGAUGUUUGGUGCCUAGCGUACUGAGUGUCGUAGCUAACGCGAUAAGUAUUCCGCCUGGGAAGUACGGCCGCAAGGUUAAAACUCA
rnacentral:rRNA from 1 species